rnacentral:rRNA from 1 species
UACGGAGGGGGCUAGCGUUGUUCGGAAUUACUGGGCGUAAAGCGCACGUAGGCGGCUUUGUAAGUUAGAGGUGAAAGCCCAGGGCUUAACUCUGGAAUUGCCUUUAAGACUGCAUCGCUAGAAUCGUGGAGAGGUGAGUGGAAUUCCGAGUGUAGAGGUGAAAUUCGUAGAUAUUCGGAAGAACACCAGUGGCGAAGGCGACUCACUGGACACGUAUUGACGCUGAGGCACGAAAGCGUGGGGAGCAAACAGG